UGAGGAGGAUGUGGAGAAGAAAGGAAAUUCAUCAAAAGGAAGAGGAGGAAAAGAAAAAAUGAAAUGGAAAAAAAAAAAAAAAAAGGAAGAGAAAGGAAAUGAGAGGCGGAAAAAAAAAACUGGGGAAAAAAGUCAACUUUUUGAGACUGGAAUUAAAACCCGAGCAGCCUGACGUCCAUCCUGCCGCAGCUCCAGGGAUGCUUUUGCCACCAGGGAGGAGCGUGGGUUCACCCUACAUGAUGCUCUGCUUGCUUUCUGGUUGGCGAAUCGCAGGUCUCUGGUCCUGGGGAAAGUUCUCAGGGAAUUUCCCAAUUGGCUCGCUAGAACAUGAACCCAGGAGUGGGGGCUAGGUGGAAAAAACCCCACCCUCCAAAAGCCAUGAGACCCUGGCCGUGCAGGAGCUGCCAGCAAGACCUGUCCUGUGGGACCCUCAACAGAAGCCCCUCACCACAGCUGAUCCCAUGUGCACCUUCCUCUUCUUCCUCCUCCUCCUCUUCUUCCUCCUCCUGCCAGCAGACCCUGGUCUGGAGCACAACGUAGAUUGAGAUUUGCACCAGCAUCCAGCCAGGCUGCUCAGGGCUGCUGGCCAGCACAGGGCUUCAGCGUGGGGACACCAGCACCAGUCUGGGGACACAUGGGGCGGAGAGGACACCGGGACAUCCCCGUCCCAGCACUGCGCAUCGCCCCGUGGGCAGCUCGCUGCCUGAUGCUGCCUGGUGGUUGUGGGUGUAAGGGGACCCCCUGCACAUCUGUCCCACCUCUUCUCCGGGUCUCGGUGGGAUGAAUCCUCUCUGCUAAGGGGGACCAUCUCCUGCUUGCGGUGGCCCUGGCGCUUGGUGGAUGCCACUGUCCUGCUUUGCAUGGGAACCCAGGGAGGGCUGCGAUGGAGCCUGCUCCGGCCCCAGCCAUCACCAGGCAAAAGCUCAUGGGAGAAGCUGAGCUGAGAUGCUGCUGCUAUCGGCUCUAGAUGCAAAACGCUCCCGGCCUUGAGCCACCGAGAGGAAAAAGGAGCAAAAGGGCCUUUUCUCUGAAGAGUGGAAGAAGGAGAAAGCGUCCCACCUCUGGACCAGGAGCCAUUUCUCCCCCAUCCUGGGUAUGGUUAGCAUUGGCCGAGGGACCACGGUCACGAUGUGAUGGACAACUCCGGUACCCAGGCAGUGGAUGCUCGGCAGCAUUUUGGGGCAGAAAGCGGGGAUGCUGAGGAGCGGAGGAGAUGCGUUUUGAGGGACAGGGAAUGAGUGAAGGAGAUAUCAUGGGCCAGGAGGUACAAUGCCACCAUCUCCCUCCUUUGGAAACCCUUCAUGCCGCCACUUUCCCUAUGCCCAAGGAUGCCCAGCGGCACCCAGUGAGUGCACAAGCUGUGGGAGCAGAGAAGAGGGCAGGAUCCGUCCCCUUUUGUUGCUGCCGUGUAAUUUAUGAUAUGAGAGGGGGCCAUUGUCUGGACCCAUCCUGUAUUUUUCCGAGGGCUUUGCCUCUCUUCCCAGACCCCCGCUGUGCUCCUGCUACUGUACCGUUGCUAUGGGACAUGCUCCCCGCGCCGCGGCUAUGCGGGGCAGUGCCGGGGAGGGCUGCCCACCGUGGCUGGACCCAUCUGGAGCCCCCAGCCCCGCUGCCGGCAACCCAGCCGCUCGGCGGCCCCGCUGACGUGCUGAGGGCCUGGGAAUGGGGCUUUCGGCCCCUCCAAGUUCACGGCCACCGGAGGCAUUCAGCUGCCGGAGGAGGGGGGGGGGGGGGCAGCGGGAUCUGGGGCGUUUGGCUCCAUUCUCCCUUCCCUUUCAGCUCUGGCAGUGUCCUCGGUGCAUACAGAUCCCCCGUCCCUUUCUCCUCCUGACAAGUGCGCACAUAAAUAAAUUACCCCACCGGGCGAGUGUGGAACAAUCUGUCCCCUAAAUUCUAUUCAUCGCCAGACAGGACCCAUUAUUCCCCCGAUUAAAGCCGCUGGAGUAGCUUGCAAGGGUUACAGUUACUCUGUCAAACUGUAAAUAAGACACUAAAAAUAAAGGGCGCUGGCGAGGGAAGGGGGAAAGGGAAGCCAGACUAAUGCCUGCUGCUAGGGAAACCGAAUGAAUCCCUAAUGACGCCUGUGUACAAACUGCAAAUAAUGAAGGAAAAGUGACAAACAGACCGCGGCCGGGCUGUGGUGAGGUCCCCGUUCGACGGCGGCGGUGGGGACCCGCUCGCCCCUUCCUCAGGGCAGAGCCGACAGGAGCGGGACCCCCGUGAGCAGAGCGUUUAAGCCCUUGGGCUUAACUUACAGAGAGGUUUAGGUCUUGUGGGAAAACACAAUUUUUCAGGCAACGGGAAUUGCCUCCUCUGCUGGAGCCUGCAUCCCUUUUUGAGGUCGCAUGGGGAAAACGUCCAUCGCCCAUGGCCUCAGGGCAGCGUGCAAAGAAGCAGCCCCCAAAACUUUAGUGGUCUGCUGUUGGGAGUGCUGCACGGAGCUCUGAUGUAGGACAGGGCUGGAACUGGCGGCUGGGAGGGGCGGGGUGUUAAGUCCGUCUGGCUGCCCAGUGCAGCCCGGGCUCCCUCCCACCCACAGUGGGGCAUCGUGGCUGAGACCUGGUGCUCAGCCCCAGCUCUGCUCCUCGCCGCUGUGUGAUAGAUGGCGGGGAAGGACGUCUCCAGCCCUCAAAAGCCUCUCUGGAUAAAAUCCAAAUCCGUUCUUGCUGCUCUCUUACCAGCCAGCAACCACAGGGAUGUUCACCUCUCAGCGGAUCCUUCUUUUUUUUUCUUUUGAUACCUUAGACCUGAAGAGCAAAAAAUUAUCAGUAAUAGGCUCAUCCUGGGUUUUCCUCAGUUCCAGAGGGACUGGGAUGGGAGAAUUUUAUUUCAGGUCUGGCUCAGAACUAUUCCCAUCAGCUGCAAGGGGCUAAGUGUUGGAAGGCUCCCUGUGUUGCUCGGGGAAAUAGUAUUUUGAUUCCCGUUAUGCAAGCAGGGAAAAGAUGGAGAGAAAAGGGCUCUGAGCUGUGCCUCUCGGCGCGGAUGCUCGCUCUCAGAAAAAAAGAGAAAGCAGAGAAAGUCUCGGUGGGGCCACGUGGUAUCGGGGACCAGGAGCAGAUGUGUCACUGGGCUGGAAACUGAGCUCUCGUCCCCCAGGACACCACACUGCACAUCUAUCCUCCCGCAGAGCCUGGCAGCGUCGGGGCAUUUCUGGGACCUCAUCUGCCACAAGCACCAAGGAAGGGCAUAUCCAAGAGCUGGGGAGCACCAAGGUGCUGAGCCUGUGGUGCGGGUGCUGCCGAGCAAAGCACUCCCCCAUUUUCCCACCCCCAGCAAAAUUGCAAGGGUCCUCGUGCAGGCAGAGGGGUUUGUAGAGAUGUGUGCUGGUUUGGUGUUUUCACAAAGAUCAGGCAUCUUAAAAGGGGUUUUUCAGACCAAUAUGGAGCCCAGUUGCGUUUCCCAGUCAGGUCAAACCUGGACUUAGCGGAUUUCUUCCCUUUCUGUCUUAGGAAAAAAAAAAAAAAGGAAAAAAAAAAAGGAAAAAAAUCAAACCCUUUUCACCCCCAAUGCCUGGCUGUGAAGCCCCAUGACUCCACAGCAGCAUUCCUGGGAUGUUCCCCAGGCGCGGUGGUAUGUGCAGAAUUUCAAACAGUAGCACAUAGCUCCACAUCUCCUGGAUGCAGUUAUUUGGGAGAAACUCCCGGAUGGAGCAGCGAGGUUUAUUAUUGCUACUCCUAGUAGUGAUGGCUGUGCAGCACCUAUAGCCCCAGGUAGGUGGGGUGGUGGUGGUGGUGAACAAGAGGUGUUCUCUUGUCUCUACCCUCCAAAAUUUACCAGCUUCGUUGGAAAAAGAGAGCAAUUUGGAAAAAGUCUUGUAACCAGCCAGGGUUGAGCAAGUCAAACCCAAACCUGGGCUGUCCCGGUGCUCCCCAACCAUGGAAAUGGGCAACUUUUCAUGAAACCUGCUCCCUGGAGGUUGCCUUUAGAAAAGUGAUGGUCUUAGAGAGCCUCAUCUCAUCCUGGGAGAGGGUUUGGAUCCCGUGGGCUUCACUCCCUUGCCAGGGAUGGCUUUGCUUGAGGUCCUGGGAGCGGCUUCGGUGCCAGGGCUGCACUCCAGAGCGUGUGGAGAAUGGCAACACUUCAUAAAAAUGAAGUUUUUCUUGCCUUUCCCCGCCUGAAUCUCUUGGAUCCGAUUUUUUUCAAGGUUUCUCUCCACCUGUAAAAAUAUGAUUAUUGCUCUUUGUGUUUUAACGAAAGCUGUGAUUCCCCUCCACGUCAAUCACCUGGCUCCAGAAGCUUUAGCCUGGUGGCAGUUGGUGGCCCUUGAGCAAAGCACGUCCUGACCAGGUUCACCCUACGGCCACCUGGAGAGAUAAGGAAAAUCAGACCUUCCUCGAUAUUAAAUAUGGUUUUACCAGUUCUGAGAAGAUAAUAAAGAUAUAAAGAUACGAAGAUAAAUAUCUUUAUACCAGUUCUGAGAAGAUCCUGUGCCUACCUGUCACUCUUUCUUCUCCGUAAAAAAAUUUUUUGGAGGAUUUUUUUUUUUUUCUUCUAUCUAUGGAUGUAAUCUUGAUGUGUCCGUACACCAAGAGCUGGCAGCUCACUCUUCUCUUCCUUGGGUGCUCAAAGAUUGCUCAAUAAGAUCUGCAGGGCUGCUGAGGGGCUGGUGGGGGCCGAGUUUCAGCACACACCCCCACACCCCCCCUUCCCUUUUCAAGGAUUUGGAUGAGGCAGAUACCUGCAGUUCAGUUUAAUUCUAAAUUCCAGAUCUGGAAAAUGUUUGCAGGCACGGCGUGCACAGAAUGCACACACGUUUGCAAUAAUAGCCAGGUAGCUUGCAUGGCUAAAUCGCUCUGGAUUUUUUUUUUUCAUUUUUUUUUUUCUUCUUCUUCUUCAUUAUAACCUUCUUUUAAAGCACGUUUAAAUGCUUCCCCACAGGCUCGUGUGAGGGCUGUUAAGGGCUUCAUUUGAAUAAAUAAGUGCAUAGGUAGAGGAGGAACAUCACCAUAACCCCCUGGAAACUCCAGCGCCAACGAUGGCAUCAGAGAACUGGCAAGUGGGAGAAGGGGCUCGAUGUUAUAUAUUCCAUAAAGUAGAGUAAUUAAGUAUUACUAGUUUUGAUGACUUCAAACAGAGUGACUCCAGGAAAUAAGCCCCUUCUUUAUAAUUAGUGGGAUUUCCUCUGCAUCAAACGGAGAGAUUGAUUCUUUAAUCUGCUCACAUGCUUUUGAUUUGGUCUUUCAGCUGCUUGUACCAACUGCUUCUACUCCCUGCUCUUGCCGAUAAAACCUUGCAAAGGAGAUUUUAGGAAGGCAUGACCUGAGUUGAGGUCUAGGAUUUUCUUUGUGUGUGGCUGUUUUGUGUAUUCUUAAUUUGCCAGAGAUGAUGAUGGUGAUGAGAGCAAUCAUAAAAAAAGAAGAGCGACCCAGGUUUUGAACAUCCGUGUGUGUUUAGGUCGAAGAACUGGGCUUUGGGUGGGUUUUUUGUUGCUGGUUUCUCCACCCAGUGUGUUUAUUAGCUCCGGUGCAUGCUCUUUCAAACCUGCAAAGAUCAUUUUGGCUACUUCUCUGCAACAGCCUUGAGCUGGCCCAAGUGGGGCUCAUUGCAAAACUUUGCUCUUGUAAGAGAGGACAGAGCUGAUGCGGGAGCCUGGCCGGUGUUUUGAGGGCUCAGCUGAAAUAAAACCAUGAUUUUUUAAGGGUUUGGGAUGCGCAAAGAGGCCCCUUUUCUAGAGUAUUUCAAAUGUUUGGUGUUGGGUUAGGACUAAACCCCGGAACUCUGGAAGUUCUGCCUGAAAUAAAAUCCACCCAAAUGUUGCUGUUUUCCCAGUGAAGAGCUCAGGAGGGAGCAGGAAUUUGCCUCCCUGCAAGUGCAAGAAGGCAAUUGUGAGCAACCAGCUCCUCCCUGGGCACAUCCAGGGGGUCUCUGGCACCGUAUCAAUCGUAUGGGAAAUGUGGUCUGGGGUCUCUGCUGGUGCCAGGCACAGGUCCAACCUGCCCUGAGCUCCCCCCACCUCCAAAAUAGCUCAGACCUUGAAUCAUCCCAGCAAACAGCCCCUGGGCUGGAUUUUUUUUCUGGCACGUGAGGUUCUCCUGGGACCUCUGCGGAGGGAAAGAAGGGGAAAAUUUGGGACUAUGUUGUUUUCCAUCCAUCUUCUGGUCCUGUUGGAAAUGUGUAGCGUGGGCAGGAGAAGGGCUCGCGGCGCUGCGCCUCGACUUUUGCAUCCCUUUGGGUGAAAAUCAGAGGAUGAUGGCUCUGUGAGGGGUUGUUUGGGUAGCUGUAGAGCAGAGACUGGCACCUCAACCACACCCCCUCUUUUUUUUGGGGGGGGGCUGGCAUCGCCCUCGGUGCACGUCACGCACAAAUAGAGUGGGGAGGGUAAGCACGGGGCUGUCCCCACGGCAGUUUGGUGGCCACAAGCCUGCAGGGAGGAGCUGUGGGAAGAGGGUCUGGAGUUCACCUGGAGCCAGGAUGCGGUCCAGGGAUGCAGGGAUAACGGCAGAGCGGCCGGUUUAGCAUCCCCCUCGCAAGCCUCCCCCCCUGUCUGGAGCAGUGUUGAACACAGAUCGUAUAAUUAGGGACCCGGUGAAGACGUAACUGUACAAUUAUGCAAAUAGUGAUCAAAAUCACUGUUUUCAGCAGAAAUGCCUGAAGAUCAAGACAGAAGCUUCAUGCAACCUUAAUUUAAUCCGGUCCUGCAGGAGUGGGGAGGUCUGAUGGAUGACCCAACCUCAUGCCUGCCUGUGUUUCGCCGGGCUGGGGUGGGAGGCGGGGGAGAGGAGCACAGGAGCAUGCUAAGCGAGGGAAAAAUGGCCCUGGGAUCAUCUUCCCGUAUUGGCAAAGCAGGGAAAAACCACCAGAAAGGGAAAUGCUGAUGUUUACAGGGAUUUUCUUUCAAUUUCAGGUGGAGAACACGAGACUGGAAGAAAAAAAUAAAAAGGAAGAAAAGAAAGGAAAAGUCUCCAAACCCAGGAAAUCUGUGUUAAUUGCUUAUGAAUGUCUCUGUCUAAAAAAUUAUCGAAUUGAUGUUGUCGUGCUUUUUUUUGACAGCCUGUCUGUUACAUUUUUUUAAAAUAUUCAUGCACCGAAAUCUAAUUACUAGGCAAAUUUAAUGAUAAUGAAAUGAAGGCACUUUAGCAAAAAGCACAGGGCCUUGUUAAUGUUUUCUCAGCCUCUGUCUUGUUCAUAUUUUAAAAAUGUAUAUAUAUUUUUUUACAACUGCCUUUCUUGCAUGUAAGAAAAAAAAAAGAUUGCUGAAAAUAAAACUUGGAUUGCUG